rnacentral:rRNA from 1 species
UACGGAGGGGGCUAGCGUUGUCCGGAAUUACUGGGCGUAAAGCGCACGUAGGCGGCUUUGUAAGUUAGAGGUGAAAGCCCGGGGCUCAACUCCGGAAUUGCCUUUAAGACUGCAUCGCUAGAAUUGUGGAGAGGUAAGUGGAAUUCCGAGUGUAGAGGUGAAAUUCGUAGAUAUUCGGAAGAACACCAGUGGCGAAGGCGACUAACUGGACAUGUAUUGACGCUGAGGUGCGAAAGCGUGGGGAGCAAACAGG